rnacentral:tRNA from 11 species
UCAGUAGCUGAGUGGAUUAAGUGAUGGCGUUUGAAGCGAACGGUACUGGGUUCGAGUCCCAGAGUGA